rnacentral:rRNA from 1 species
UACGGAGGGUGCAAGCGUUAAUCGGAAUCACUGGGCGUAAAGCGCAUGUAGGCUGCUUUAUAAGUCAGGGGUGAAAGCCCACAGCUCAACUGUGGAACUGCCUUUGAUACUGUAGAGCUUGAGUCUGUGAGAGGGUAGUGGAAUUCCAGGUGUAGGGGUGAAAUCCGUAGAGAUCUGGAGGAACAUCAGUGGCGAAGGCGACUACCUGGUGCAGUACUGACGCUGAGAUGCGAAAGCGUGGGGAUCAAACAGG